rnacentral:rRNA from 1 species
UACGGAGGGUGCAAGCGUUAUCCGGAUUUAUUGGGUUUAAAGGGUGCGUAGGCGGCUUUAUAAGUCGGGGGUUAAAGGUAGUCGCUUAACGAUUUUACAUGCCCUCGAUACUGUAAGGCUUGAGUGAUUUGGAGGUAGCUAGAAUUCCCUGUGUAGCGGUGAAAUGCAUAGAUACGGGGAGGAAUACCGAUUGCGAAGGCAUGUUACUACGAAUUAACUGACGCUGAUGCACGAAAGCGUGGGGAUCAAA